rnacentral:rRNA from 1 species
ACCCGCUGAACUUAAGCAUAUCAAUAAGCGGAGGAAAAGAAACUAACAAGGAUUCCCCUAGUAACGGCGAGUGAAGCGGGAUGAGCUCAAAUUUAAAAUCUGGCAGUCUUUGAUUGUCCGAGUUGUAAUCUAGAGAAGCGUUUUCCGCGCUGGACUGUGUACAAGUUUCCUGGAUACGGAACAUCAUAGAGGGUGAGAAUCCCGUCCUUGACACAGACUCCCAGUGCUCUGCGAUGCGCUCUCGACGAGUCGAGUUGUUUGGGAUUGCAGCUCAAAAUGGGAGGUAAAUUCCUUCUAAAGCUAAAUAUUGGCGAGAGACCGAUAGCGAACAAGUACCGUGAGGGAAAGAUGAAAAGCACUUUGGAAAGAGAGUUAAACAGUACGUGAAAUUGUUAAAAGGGAAACGAUUGAAGUCAGUCGCGUUUACUUGGACUCAGCCUUACCUCGGUUUGGUGCAUUUCCUUGUAGACGGGCCAGCGUCCAUGUUGUCUGCCGGAAAAGGUGCGAGGGAAUGUGGCUUCUUCGGGAGUGUUAUAGCCCUUGUUCGUAUACGGCGUGUGAUAUGGAGUGGUACAGCAUGCUUCGGCGGUGCUUGUGCUGGCAUAAUGGCUUUAAACGACCCGUCUUGAAACACGG